CAGUCGCCGCGGUAAAACGGAGGGUGCAAGCGUUAUCCGGAUUUAUUGGGUUUAAAGGGUCCGUAGGCGGAUCUGUAAGUCAGUGGUGAAAUCUCACAGCUUAACUGUGAAACUGCCAUUGAUACUGCAGGUCUUGAGUAAAUUUGAAGUGGCUGGAAUAAGUAGUGUAGCGGUGAAAUGCAUAGAUAUUACUUAGAACACCAAUUGCGAAGGCAGGUCACUAAGAUUUAACUGACGCUGAUGGACGAAAGCGUGGGGAGCGAACAGGAUUAGAUACCCCUGUAGUCCCUGUCUCUUUUAU
rnacentral:rRNA from 1 species